CUCUGCCUACGGGAGGCAGCAGUGGGGAAUAUUGGGCAAUGGGCGAAAGCCUGACCCAGCAACGCCGCGUGAAGGAAGAAGGCUUUCGGGUUGUAAACUUCUUUUGUCAGGGAAGAGCAGAAGACGGUACCUGUCGAAUAAGCCACGGCUAACUACGUGCCAGCAGCCGCGGUAAUACGUAGGGGGCAAGCGUUAUCCGGAUUUACUGGGUGUAAAGGGAGCGUAGGCGGCGAUGCAAGUCAGAAGUGAAAGCCCGGGGCUCAACUCCGGGACUGCUUUUGAAACUGUAUGGCUAGAUUGCAGGA
rnacentral:rRNA from 1 species